rnacentral:rRNA from 1 species
CCCUUAGAUGUUCUGGGCUGCACGCGCGCUACACUGAAGCGUUCAACGAGUAUUCACCUUGCCCGGGAGGGUUGGGUAAUCUUUUGAAAACGCUUCGUGAUGGGGAUAGAUUAUUGCAAUUAUUAAUCUUCAACGAGGAAUUCCUAGUAAGCGCGAGUCAUCAGCUCGUGCUGAUUACGUCCCUGCCCUUUGUACACACCGCCCGUCGCUACUACCGAUUGAACGUUUUAGUGAGGCAUUUGGACCGACGCAUCUCAGUUUAACCGCUGGUUUGUGUUGGAAAGACUUCCAAACUUGAGCGUUUAGAGGAAGUAAAAGUCGUAACA